CCCCUUCAUCAUCUUCACCAUUCAGCUUUGACGAAAUAUUCACGGAUAUGGUCCGAGAUGCCGAAAAGGGUUUGCACGAAGAUGCAUUGGCAUUGCACAUGAGAGACAACUUUUUUACGAGGAUGAGAUAAAGCGUCGAAGCUCUUCCCAAAGGUCAUCAGAUUAUGUGUUCUCAAUGGGCAAUUGGACGAAGCUCACCACCUGUUCGAUCAAAUGCCUAAGAGGAAGAUGAAUCAAACUGUAAGGUAAACGAUGAACCAAAACAGGCUAUUUGUACGGUGAAAAUAUGGGUUGUUUGAUAAAAAAACUCAUCAGAUUAUGUGCUCUCAAUGGGCAAUUGGACGAAGCUCACCACCUGUUCGAUCAAAUGCCUAAGUGUCAUGAAUCAGCUUUUCUGUGGAAUUCACUGAUAGCCCCCUAUGCCGAAAAGGGUUUGCACGAAGAUGCGUUAGGUUUGCUCCGAAAAGGGUUAUGCCAAAACUCAGUUGUAGACAGCAUUUGGAGAACAUUCUCCUUGCUGAGUUGUGUUGAUGAUGAAGUUAUAUCAGUUCUUAUGUUUCUCUUGUUUGGCAGAUAUCUGAAAUCCCAAAGUUAACUUCUGGUUGCU